GCAUAACGCGAAGAACCUUACCAAGGCUUGACAUAUACGAGAACGGGCCAGAAAUGGUCAACUCUUUGGACACUCGUAAACAGGCGGUGCAUGGUUGUCGUCAGCUCGUGUCGUGAGAUGUUGGGUUAAGUCCCGCAACGAGCGCAACCCUCGUUCUAUGUUGCCAGCACGUUAUGGUGGGAACUCAUGGGAUACUGCCGGGGUCAACUCGGAGGAAGGUGGGGAUGACGUCAAAUCAUCAUGCCCCUUAUGUCUUGGGCUUCACGCAUGCUACAAUGGCCGGUACAAAGGGCUGCAAUACCGUGAGGUGGAGCGAAUCCCAAAAAGCCGGUCCCAGUUCGGAUUGAGGUCUGCAACUCGACCUCAUGAAGUCGGAGUCGCUAGUAAUCGCAGAUCAGCAACGCUGCGGUGAAUACGUUCCCGGGUCUUGUACACACCG
rnacentral:rRNA from 1 species